rnacentral:miRNA from 1 species
AGUGGGAUUGCUGGGUCAAAUGGUGAUUCUAUUCCAAGUUUUUAAGGAAUCUCCAUACUGCUUUCCAGAGUGGUUGCAGUCCCACCAGCAAU